rnacentral:rRNA from 1 species
CUGACUCAGGGAGGUAGCGACAAGAAAUAACGAUAGUAGGCUCGUUCGAGUCUGCGCAUCGGAAUGAGGAUAAUUUACACCCCUUCUCGAGGAUCCAUUGGAGGGCAAGCCUGGUGCCAGCAGCCGCGGUAAUUCCAGCUCCAAUAGCGUAUACUAAAGUUGUUGCAGUUAAAAAGCUCGUAGUCGAAUGAUGAUUCUUUUGUUGGCGCGGACGCUUAGGUGUAACUUAAGAUUGUCUGUGCCCAAGAAUCACCUUGGUGUGGUACGAAUUUAGUAGAAAUAUUCUACUAUUAUUCGCCACACACAUUACUGUGAACAAAAUAGAGUGUUCAUGGCAGGCCAUUAAGGCUUGAAUACCUCAGCAUGGAAUAAUAGAAUAGGACUUCCGGUUCUAUUUUGUGGUUUUUGGAGCCGAAGUAAUGAUUAAUAGGGAUAGUUGGGGGCACUC